CCAUGCUGAGGGUUAUUGGAGACA
rnacentral:piRNA from 1 species